GUUUACUAUGCCAAGGCUCGUCACUUGUUGUAAUGGUGACGAGACUGUCAAGAUUUCUUUAUUUUUCUGUGAAUCAUUAUGACGCAAGCGAUCGCCGCUGGCGCACUGAUUCUGUGCGCAAGCGUCUUUCUGAGAGUGUCGUGCUCCUUGGAAAAAGCAAUUAUUGUUCGCAAUCUGACAAUUAGUGCCGCUAACGCAUCGAUAGUGCCAUUCAACGGGCAGUUGUACGAAAUAACGAAAAAUCAAUCGCACAUCCACAUCAACUCGACAGACAGUAAUUACGAGCCAUGCGACAUCGCCAUCGAUCCCGCCAGAGACGUCUUUAGUAGCAACGUGGAGGUGAGGUCGACGGAAGAUGAGUUCUUCGUCAUGGGGAUACAGAGCAUCAAUAAAACGCAAAUCGAUGAAUACAGCAUCAAUUAUCAGUACAAUUACACAAUAUUGAGAGUUGAUCCAAUAGCCUGCACCUACCAGUCAGUUUUCAUUCCCGAGAUCAUUGAUGAUUACAAAGGGGAUUACGAUUUGCCGACGGUAGUAGGCCAUCGGACGGGUAAUGAUUUUUUUUUUCCUCAUCUGAAAAGCUGCGCACCCUGCCGAGUUAAUAGCCUGGGCUCGAUUAGCGAAUCUACGCCGCAAAUUCCACGCGAAAAUCCUUCGCCUAGAAGUUCUCUUUUUGAGCACUACCGCGUGCAAUACGUAGAGCCGAUCUGCGCCUACUUCUACGUCUACGAUGCUCAUGAUUAUGCUGAUAAUGCUCAAAUAAUAAAGUUGAAACUUCUUGACAGCAGUAACUUCAACACUUUGAAGGAAAGAAACAUCGAUUUCUCGGUUGAUGCUGUUUCCAAGCAAAAGAAAUCUAUUGGAUAUUUAGGUGUCUGUACCAAGGUUCGCGACGAGCAUUUUGCCGACGGAAACGCUUACACCGAAGUCCGUUGCGACAGGCUCAACUCGAAUUUGGACACAGCGAGCACUAUUAGGAUCCACGUAGGACGCCGUUCAGCCGACGUUUCCAGUGUUUCGUAUGAGUUUGACAAAGAAGGAAACUCUUACAUUAGUUUCGCCGAGUACUCGAAGCUCCGACUUCAUAUUCACGACAAGACUGGCCAACUCAUUAAGGCUAUUGACGCGGGAGAAGUUGAUCGUAGAUUCGACGAACACCCUAAUUUUGAUCCUAAUUUUUUCACCCCAUACGCUGACUGGGAUGCGAAUGGAUUUCUCCUUAACGACCAGUAUUGCAUUGUUAUCGAACAGUCUCCUCGUUCAUUUUCAACUCCUCUACGACAAAUUAGAUGUAUCGACGUUAAGGAAUACGUGAAACGUUGAUUGUGAUUUUUUGAGUGAUCAAUUUUUUCCAGGUGUUUUGUCUCGUCUGAAUAAAACUUUAUUUUCACUGGCCACGAAUUUAUUCUUUAUAUCAAUGUAAUUUUUAAUAACUUGAACAUUCUCAUAUUUUCUUUCGUGCUGAUAUAAGCGAUGAAAGUUUAUAAAUAGCGCACUGAAUCAGAGUAACAAGAAUGAUUUGAAUGAACGUGUUACGAGCCAAUCAUAAAAAAAUGUUAAACUGGAAUAAAUAUAACCUGUUUGAUUUUUUUCCGACCAUUUAUGAAAGUAUCUCCACCACCAACUAUAGAAUUGUCAUUCGUGUGGUAUUUUUUAAACAGCAAUUAUCUGCAAUGAAAGAGACUGAAUUUUUGAAUGUAUCACGAUGAAAAAAUGAUUAUUCCAAGGAAAAGUAAAUGACAAAAAUACGGAAAACAUUGUACAGGAAAAAUUUGCAGAAAGUACAGAAACCGCAUAUCGUACCGCUGUUAUUAUCAUACUUUGAAUUUUAUUCAAAUAUAUAUUUCUUUCAUUUGCCGUUGUUGACUUUCGCUUAUCUUUGUUUUUGAUACUGAGCUUGCCAGCUGAACAUGGCACGGAUAAGUUUGUUGUAUGCGUCACUGUUAUAGCGAGCUAGUCGUUCAGUCAUAGUUUAUAUGUCGCUUUUGAAGAGAAAAUACACUGGAACUCUGGCUAGUCAUCGUUACAAAUCAACAUGUCGAGAGCAAUUGGAUUCGGUGCUCUAAUUCUGUGCACAAGUACAUUUCUAAGAGCCUCGUGCGACUUGCAGAAAGCAGUAA